UACGAAGGGGGCUAGCGUUGUUCGGAAUUACUGGGCGUAAAGCGCGCGUAGGCGGUUUUGCAAGCCAGAGGUGAAAUGCCUGAGCUCAACUUAGGAAUUGCCUUUGGGACUGCGAGGCUUUGAGGACUGGAGAGGUGAGUGGAAUUCCCAGUGUAGAGGUGAAAUUCGUAGAUAUUGGGAAGAACACCGGUGGCGAAGGCGGCUCACUGGCUAGUUUCUGACGCUGCAGCGCGAAAGCGUGGGGAUCAAACAGG
rnacentral:rRNA from 1 species